rnacentral:rRNA from 1 species
UACGUAGGUGGCAAGCGUUGUCCGGAUUUACUGGGCGUAAAGAGCGCGCAGGCGGUCUUGUAAGUCGAAUGUGAAAGCCCCUGGCUCAACUGGGGAGGGUCAUUCGAUACUGCUCGACUCGAAGGCAGGAGAGGGAAGCGGAAUUCCCGGUGUAGUGGUGGAAUGCGUAGAGAUCCGGAAGAACACCGGUGGCGAAGGCGGCCUGCUGGGCAGUGGCUGACGCUGAGGCGCGACAGCGUGGGGAGCAAACAGG